rnacentral:rRNA from 1 species
AACGUAGGUACCGAGCGUUAUCCGGAUUUACUGGGCGUAAAGCGCGUUCAGGCGGUUUGGCAAGUCGGGCCUGAAAUCUCUCGGCUCAACCGGGAGAGGUUGUCCGAUACUUCCAGACUUGAGGGCAGUAGAGGGUGGUGGAAUUCCGGGUGUAGUGGUGAAAUGCGUAGAUAUCCGGAGGAACACCAGUGGCGAAAGCAGUGUCCUGGGGAGUACCUGACGCUCAGGUGCGAAAGCCAGGGGAGCGAACGGG